GGGGGCCCGCACAAGCGGCGGAGCAUGCGGAUUAAUUCGAUGCAACGCGAAGAACCUUACCAAGGCUUGACAUAUAGAGGAAACGUGCAGAAAUGUACGCCCCGCAAGGUCUCUAUACAGGUGGUGCAUGGUUGUCGUCAGCUCGUGUCGUGAGAUGUUGGGUUAAGUCCCGCAACGAGCGCAACCCUCGUCCUAUGUUGCCAGCACGUAAUGGUGGGAACUCAUGGGAUACUGCCGGGGUCAACUCGGAGGAAGGUGGGGAUGACGUCAAAUCAUCAUGCCCCUUAUGUCUUGGGCUUCACGCAUGCUACAAUGGCCGGUACAAAGGGCUGCAAUACCGUAAGGUGGAGCGAAUCCCAAAAAGCCGGUCUCAGUUCGGAUUGAGGUCUGCAACUCGACCUCAUGAAGUCGGAGUCGCUAGUAAUCGCAGAUCAGCAACGCUGCGGUGAAUACGUUCCCGGGCCUUGUACACACCGCCCGUCAAGUCAUGAAAGUCGGUAACACCCGAAGCCGGUGGCCUAACCCGUAAGGGGAGGAGCUGUCGAAGGUGGGAUCGGUGAUUAGGACUAAGUCGUAACAAGGUAACCGUAAGGGC
rnacentral:rRNA from 1 species